rnacentral:rRNA from 1 species
CCUACGGGAGGCAGCAGCGGGGAAUUUUGGACAAUGGGGGCAACCCUGAUCCAGCCAUGCCGCGUGAGUGAAGAAGGCCUUCGGGUUGUAAAGCUCUUUCGGACGGAACGAAACGGCCGCUGUUAAUACCGGCGGUCACUGACGGUACCGUAAGAAGAAGCACCGGCUAACUACGUGCCAGCAGCCGCGGUAAUACGUAGGGUGCGAGCGUUAAUCGGAAUUACUGGGCGUAAAGCGUGCGCAGGCGGCUCUUUAAGUCAGAUGUGAAAGCCCCGGGCUUAACCUGGGAACUGCGUUUGAAACUGGAGGGCUGGAGUGUGGCAGAGGGAGGUGGAAUUCCACGUGUAGCAGUGAAAUGCGUAGAGAUGUGGAGGAACACCGAUGGCGAAGGCAGCCCCCUGGGCUAACACUGACGCUCAGGCACGAAAGCGUGGGGAGCAAACAGGAUUAGAUACCCUGGUAGUCCACGCCCUAAACUAUGUCAACUGGGUGUUGGGGAAGCGAUUCCUCAGUACCGUAGCUAACGCGUGAAGUUGACCGCCUGGGGAGUACGGCCGCAAGGUUAAAACUCAAAGGAAUUGACGG